rnacentral:rRNA from 1 species
GACGAACGCUGGCGGCGUGCUUAACACAUGCAAGUCGAACGGAAAGGCCCUGCUUUUGUGGGGUGCUCGAGUGGCGAACGGGUGAGUAACACGUGUGUAACCUGCCCUUGACUUUGGGAUAACUUCAGGAAACUGGGGCUAAUACCGGAUAGGAGCUCCUGCUGCAUGGUGGGGGUUGGAAAGUUUCGGCGGUUGGGGAUGGACUCGCGGCUUAUCAGCUUGUUGGUGGGGUAGUGGCUUACCAAGGCUUUGACGGGUAGCCGGCCUGAGAGGGUGACCGGCCACAUUGGGACUGAGAUACGGCCCAGACUCCUACGGGAGGCAGCAGUGGGGAAUAUUGCACAAUGGGCGGAAGCCUGAUGCAGCAACGCCGCGUGCGGGAUGACGGCCUUCGGGUUGUAAACCGCUUGCGCCUGUGACGAAGCGUGAGUGACGGUAAUGGGUAAAGAAGCACCGGCUAACUACGUG